AUUGAACGCUGGCGGCAGGCCUAACACAUGCAAGUCGAGCGGAUGAAGGGAGCUUGCUCCUGGAUUCAGCGGCGGACGGGUGUGUAAUGCCUAGGAAUCUGCCUGGUAGUGGGGGAUAACGUCCGGAAACGGGCGCUAAUACCGCAUACGUCCUGAGGGAGAAAGUGGGGGAUCUUCGGACCUCACGCUAUCAGAUGAGCCUAGGUCGGAUUAGCUAGUUGGUGGGGUAAAGGCCUACCAAGGCGACGAUCCGUAACUGGUCUGAGAGGAUGAUCAGUCACACUGGAACUGAGACACGGUACAGACUCCUACGGGAGGAAGCAGUGGGGAAUAUUGGACAAUGGGCGAAAGCCUGAUCCAGCCAUGCCGCGUGUGUGAAGAAGGUCUUCGGAUUGUAAAGCACUUUAAGUUGGGAGGAAGGGCAGUAAGUUAAUACCUUGCUGUUUUGACGUUACCAACAGAAUAAGCACCGGCUAACUUCGUG
rnacentral:rRNA from 1 species